rnacentral:snRNA from 1 species
GUGCUUGCUUUGGCAGCACAUAUACUAAAAUGGAAAUUACUACAGA